UGGGGAAUAUUGGACAAUGGGCGCAAGCCUGAUCCAGCCAUGCCGCGUGGAUGAAGAAGGCCCUAGGGUUGUAAAAUCCUUUCAGCAGGGAAGAUAAUGACGGUACCUGCACAAGAAGCCCCGGCUAAUUUCGUGCCAGCAGCCGCGGUAAUACGAAAGGGGCUAGCGUUGUUCGGAAUUACUGGGCGUAAAGCGCGCGUAGGCGGCCUAGCAAGUUGGGGGUGAAAUCCCGGAGCUCAACUCCGGAACUGCCUUCAAAACUGCUAAGCUUGAGGAUGCGAGAGGAUAGUGGAAUUCCGAGUGUAGAGGUGAAAUUCGUAGAUAUUCGGAAGAACACCAGUGGCGAAGGCGACUGUCUGGCGCAUUUCUGACGCUGAGGCGCGAAAGCGUGGGGAGCAAACAGGAUUAGAUACCCCCGUAGUCC
rnacentral:rRNA from 1 species